GAAACAUGAAAUCCAGAGAAAAGCUUCUAACUUAUUCUCUAAGCGGCUGCCCCCGUUUAUGUUUCU
rnacentral:tRNA from 1 species